CCCUCCCUCUUUCUUCAUGCCUAACACAUGCAAGUCGAACGAGACCUUCGGGUCUAGUGGCGCACGGGUGCGUAACGCGUGGGAACCUGCCCUUAGGUUCGGAAUAACUCCCCGAAAGGGGUGCUAAUACCGGAUAAUGUCUUCGGACCAAAGAUUUAUCGCCUUUGGAUGGGCCCGCGUUGGAUUAGCUAGUUGGUAGGGUAAAAGCCUACCAAGGCGACGAUCCAUAGCUGGUCUGAGAGGAUGAUCAGCCACAUUGGGACUGAGACACGGCCCAGACUCCUACGGGAGGCAGCAGUGGGGAAUAUUGGACAAUGGGCGAAAGCCUGAUCCAGCAAUGCCGCGUGAGUGAUGAAGGCCUUAGGGUUGUAAAGCUCUUUUACCCGGGAUGAUAAUGACAGUACCGGGAGAAUAAGCGCCGGCUAACUCCGUG
rnacentral:rRNA from 1 species